rnacentral:rRNA from 1 species
UACGGGGGGAGCAAGCGUUGUUCGGAUUUACUGGGCGUAAAGGGCGCGUAGGCGGCCACCGCAAGUCGGUUGUGAAAUCUCUGGGCUUAACCCAGAAAGGUCAACCGAUACUGCGGGGCUAGAGUGCAGAAGGGGCAACUGGAAUUCUCGGUGUAGCGGUGAAAUGCGUAGAUAUCGAGAGGAACACCUGCGGCGAAGGCGGGUUGCUGGGCUGACACUGACGCUGAAGCGCGAAAGCCAGGGGAGCAAACGGG